UUCCUGGCAGUCCAAUGGUUAGGACUCUGCACUGUCACUGCUGGGGCCCAGGUUCAAUCCCUGGUCAGGGAA
rnacentral:tRNA from 1 species